rnacentral:rRNA from 1 species
AGAGUUAGCUUGCUAACUUGAGACCGGCGCACGGGUGCGUAACGCGUAUGCAAUCUACCUUUCACAAAGGGAUAGCCCAGAGAAAUUUGGAUUAAUACCUUAUAGUAUAUAUGAAUGGCAUCAUUUAUAUAUUAAAGAUUUAUCGGUGAAAGAUGAGCAUGCGUCCCAUUAGCUAGUUGGUAAGGUAACGGCUUACCAAGGCAACGAUGGGUAGGGGUCCUGAGAGGGAGAUCCCCCACACUGGUACUGAGACACGGACCAGACUCCUACGGGAGGCAGCAGUGAGGAAUAUUGGACAAUGGGCGCAAGCCUGAUCCAGCCAUGCCGCGUGCAGGAUGACGGUCCUAUGGAUUGUAAACUGCUUUUAUACGAGAAGAAACCCUCCGACGUGUCGGAGCUUGACGGUAUCGUAAGAAUAAGGAUCGGCUAACUCCGUGCCAGCAGCCGCGGUAAUACGGAGGAUCCAAGCGUUAUCCGGAAUCAUUGGGUUUAAAGGGUCCGUAGGCGGUCAGGUAAGUCAGUGGUGAAAGCCCAUCGCUCAACGGUGGAACGGCCAUUGAUACUGUCUGACUUGAAUUAUUAGGAAGUAACUAGAAUAUGUAGUGUAGCGGUGAAAUGCUUAGAGAUUACAUGGAAUACCAAUUGCGAAGGCAGGUUACUACUAAUGGAUUGACGCUGAUGGAC